ACGAACGCUGGCGGCGUGCCUAAUACAUGCAAGUCGAACGCUUCUUUUUCCACCGGAGCUUGCUCCACCGGAAAAAGAGGAGUGGCGAACGGGUGAGUAACACGUGGGUAACCUGCCCAUCAGAAGGGGAUAACACUUGGAAACAGGUGCUAAUACCGUAUAACAAUCGAAACCGCAUGGUUUUGAUUUGAAAGGCGCUUUCGGGUGUCGCUGAUGGAUGGACCCGCGGUGCAUUAGCUAGUUGGUGAGGUAACGGCUCACCAAGGCGACGAUGCAUAGCCGACCUGAGAGGGUGAUCGGCCACAUUGGGACUGAGACACGGCCCAAACUCCUACGGGAGGCAGCAGUAGGGAAUCUUCGGCAAUGGACGAAAGUCUGACCGAGCAACGCCGCGUGAGUGAAGAAGGUUUUCGGAUCGUAAAACUCUGUUGUUAGAGAAGAACAAGGAUGAGAGUAACUGUUCAUCCCUUGACGGUAUCUAACCAGAAAGCCACGGCUAACUACGUGCCAGCAGCCGCGGUAAUACGUAGGUGGCAAGCGUUGUCCGGAUUUAUUGGGCGUAAAGCGAGCGCAGGCGGUUUCUUAAGUCUGAUGUGAAAGCCCCCGGCUCAACCGGGGAGGGUCAUUGGAAACUGGGAGACUUGAGUGCAGAAGAGGAGAGUGGAAUUCCAUGUGUAGCGGUGAAAUGCGUAGAUAUAUGGAGGAACACCAGUGGCGAAGGCGGCUCUCUGGUCUGUAACUGACGCUGAGGCUCGAAAGCGUGGGGAGCAAACAGGAUUAGAUACCCUGGUAGUCCACGCCGUAAACGAUGAGUGCUAAGUGUUGGAGGGUUUCCGCCCUUCAGUGCUGCAGCUAACGCAUUAAGCACUCCGCCUGGGGAGUACGACCGCAAGGUUGAAACUCAAAGGAAUUGACGGGGGCCCGCACAAGCGGUGGAGCAUGUGGUUUAAUUCGAAGCAACGCGAAGAACCUUACCAGGUCUUGACAUCCUUUGACCACUCUAGAGAUAGAGCUUCCCCUUCGGGGGCAAAGUGACAGGUGGUGCAUGGUUGUCGUCAGCUCGUGUCGUGAGAUGUUGGGUUAAGUCCCGCAACGAGCGCAACCCUUAUUGUUAGUUGCCAUCAUUUAGUUGGGCACUCUAGCAAGACUGCCGGUGACAAACCGGAGGAAGGUGGGGAUGACGUCAAAUCAUCAUGCCCCUUAUGACCUGGGCUACACACGUGCUACAAUGGGAAGUACAACGAGUCGCAAAGUCGCGAGGCUAAGCUAAUCUCUUAAAGCUUCUCUCAGUUCGGAUUGUAGGCUGCAACUCGCCUACAUGAAGCCGGAAUCGCUAGUAAUCGCGGAUCAGCACGCCGCGGUGAAUACGUUCCCGGGCCUUGUACACACCGCCCGUCAAGCCAUGGAAGCCGGGAGUGCCUGAAGUGCGUGACCGCAAGGAGCGCCCUAGGGUAAAACCGGUGACUGGGGCU
rnacentral:rRNA from 1 species